UACGGAGGGUGCGAGCGUUGUCCGGAAUCACUGGGCGUAAAGGGUGCGUAGGCGGGUCUUUAAGCCAGGGGUGAAAUCCUGGAGCUCAACUCCAGAACUGCCUUUGAUACUGAAGAUCUUGAGUUCGGGAGAGGUGAGUGGAACUGCGAGUGUAGAGGUGAAAUUCGUAGAUAUUCGCAAGAACACCAGUGGCGAAGGCGGCUCACUGGCCCGAUACUGACGCUGAGGCACGAAAGCGUGGGGAGCAAACAGG
rnacentral:rRNA from 1 species